rnacentral:tRNA from 1 species
AGAAAAGUAUUUAAAAUAAAUAAAAUCUAAAUUGCAAUUAGAAAUUGAAGUAACUCCUUUUCUG